AUUGAACGCUGGCGGCAGGCCUAACACAUGCAAGUCGGGCGAGCGGCGGACGGGUGAGUAAUGUAUGGGGAUCUGCCUGAUGGCGGGGGAUAACUACUGGAAACUGUAGCUAAUACCGCGUACCAUAGGAUGAGCCCAAGUGGGAUUAGGUAGUUGGUGGGGUAAAGGCUCACCAAGCCGACGAUCGCUAGCUGGUCUGAGAGGAUGACCAGCCAAACUGGGACUGGGACACGGCCCAGACUCCUACGGGAGGAAGCAGUGGGGAAGAUUGGGCAAUGGGGGAAACCCUGACGCAGCCAUCCCGCGUGGAUGAAGAAGGCCUUCGGGUUGUAAAGUACUUUCAGUCGAGAGGCGUUACCGACAGAAGAAGCACCGGCUAACUCCGUGCCAGCAGCCGCGGUAAUUC
rnacentral:rRNA from 1 species